GACGAACGCUGGCGGCGUGCUUAACACAUGCAAGUCGAGCGGUAAGGCCCUUUCGGGGGUACGACGAGCGGCGAACGGGUGAGUAACACGUGGGUGACCUGCCCUCAGCUCUGGGAGUAAGCCUGGGAAACCGGGGUCUAAUACCGGAUAUGACUCCAUGACGCAUGUUGUGGGGUGGAAAGCCUUGUGCGGCUGAGGAUGGGCCCGCGGCCUAUCAGCUUGUUGGUGGGGUGAUGGCCUACCAAGGCGACGACGGGUAGCCGGCCUGAGAGGGCGACCGGCCACACUGGGACUGAGACACGGCCCAGACUCCUACGGGAGGCAGCAGUGGGGAAUCUUGCGCAAUGGGCGAAAGCCUGACGCAGCGACGCCGCGUGAGGGAUGACGGCCU
rnacentral:rRNA from 1 species